GGACGUGAGGGUGAUCUGGCUGUGACAUCUGUUACCCUACUGACUGCCAGGAUUCAGUUGAUCUGGCUGGCUAGGUGGGUGUCCCCUUCUCCCUCACAGCUCCAUGAGCAUCCCUUCCAAAGCUGUGUGCUUGGUUGAGGACCCUCACCCAUACAGAAGGACCAUUCUGUUGUCAAGGGCAUAAUGAGUAGCUGUUCUUCCCUGCUAGGCCCUCCAAACAAGCUCCUGAAUUGAGGCAACGAACCUCAAAGAUGGCCCUAAAU
rnacentral:snRNA from 1 species